AUUGAACGCUGGCGGCAGGCCUAACACAUGCAAGUCGAGCGGGGUUUUCGGACCUAGCGGCGGACGGGUGAGUAAUGCGUAGGAAGCUGCCCGAUAGAGGGGGAUACCAGUUGGAAACGACUGUUAAUACCGCAUAAUGUCUACGGACCAAAGUGUGGGACCUUCGGGCCACAUGCUAUCGGAUGCGCCUAAGUGGGAUUAGCUAGUUGGUGAGGUAAUGGCUCACCAAGGCGACGAUCUCUAGCUGGUUUGAGAGGAUGAUCAGCCACACUGGAACUGAGACACGGGCCAGACUCCUACGUGAGGCAGCAGUGGGGAAUAUUGGACAAUGGGCGCAAGCCUGAUCCAGCCAUGCCGCGUGUGUGAAGAAGGCCUUCGGGUUGUAAAGCACUUUCAGCGAGGAGGAAGGGUGGUGUGUUAAUAGCACAUCAUUUUGACGUUACUCGCAGAAGAAGCACCGGCUAACUCUGUGCCGGCAGCCGCGGUAAAAC
rnacentral:rRNA from 1 species